rnacentral:rRNA from 1 species
UAGGGAAUCUUCGGCAAUGGACGAAAGUCUGACCGAGCAACGCCGCGUGCGUGAAGAACGUUUUCGGAUCGUAAAACUCUGUUGUUAGAGAAGAACAAGGACGUUAGUAACUGAACGUCCCCUGACGGUAUCUAACCAGAAAGCCACGGCUAACUACGUCCCAGCAGCCGCGGUAAUACGUAGGUGGCAAGCGUUGUCCGGAUUUAUUGGGCGUAAAGCGAGCGCAGGCGGUUUCUUAAGUCUGAUGUGAAAGCCCCCGGCUCAACCGGGGAGGGUCAUUGGAAACUGGGAGACUUGAGUGCAGAAGAGGAGAGUGGAAUUCCAUGUGUAGCGGUGAAAUGCGUAGAUAUAUGGAGGGACACCAGUGGCGAAGGCGGCUCUCUGGUCUGUAACUGACGCUGAGGCUCGAAAGCGUGGGGAGCAAACAGG